GCGGGGCGGGGCGGGGCGCGUCGCUGGGACGCGAGAAAGGCUCGCUCGGUUGCUAAGGCGUCAAGGCUGGGAUUCGACCUCACCCCUUUAGAUGGGCAGCUUCCAGGUUGCCCAGGUGAUUAGGGCGCUGGAGGCAGCGAGUUCAUGACCAUCUUUUCUUCCUAUUGGCCUUGCCAGCUUUAAGCCCUACACCAGGCAUAGAGGCCAACACCAGACAGAGAUGACUUAACCAACUCUUAAAACUAUGUAAGGGCCCCAUGCUCAUAAUAAAUUUUAUAUUUUCUAUCACUCUUACAGGUUCUGCUUCUCUGAUUGAACCUGAAUGAUACAAAACUGGUAGUUAAAACUGAAGUAUUUCAAUUUAAAGUAUUGUCUUUAUGUUUUACUUAGACUUGAAUCCACAUAAAUUAUGUGUUUGUACAACUGCAGCUGUAUUGUAAAGAUUUGUUACCUUUA